CCCAAAUGCAUGCUUUACAAUUAUUCUAUUUAUUUUUUUUCUCAAUAUUCAAACUUCAUUUCUUUGGGAAAAUAAUCAGGUAUUAUUUCAAGUUAGUGCAGAGUGCCACAGCAAUUCAGUAAUAAAACAGAUAUGUUGAUCAAAUUUCUGAUUGCAUUGUCAACAAAAAAUGCCUAAGAUUAUACUUCCUAAACAAUGUUAGUGAAAUAUCCCCUGGAAAAGAAUACCUUUCAAAAAAAAAAAAAAAAAAAAAGUUUCCAUUUGCAAGGAGCAAUUCUAAGUAGCUUUCAGAAUUACUUAAGACCUUACUUUGAGAAAAUGGCUGUCUAUUUAUAGUAAAUGCAGAUGAUCUCCUGUGUCACAUAAUUUUUCACUCCAUCUCACAGUAAAAACUCUUUAGAAAUAUCAUAAUAUAUUCUCAAUGCAAGGCUGAAAUCCUUGCCUUCAAUCCUGGUUUUAUUCCUUUGGAAAAAAAAAAAAAAAAAAAAAAAAAAAAGCACAAUUUUCUUAGAGAUUAUUUUCUUCUCUGUCUCAAGAAAAAUCAUACUAAGUCAAAUUGGAACAAAAUUGUUAAGUACCUGCACAUAUCAGAAGGGCUCUGUGCAAUAUUUGAGUGAAGAUUAACAGUUAUUUUUCUUCAGAAUUGUAUCACAGAAAAGAUGGUGCUUCAGAUUAACAGUGAACCUGAAGGAAAAGUAGUUUCCGGCUCCAAUUUUCCUACCAUAUUGGACAAAUCUGACAACUUAGAGAAAACAUCUGUGGCUCUGGAAGGUCCACAGAAAAACUCUAUCAAGGAUGCUCUUAGCUAUGUUUCAUAUCCUUUCACAGACAAAGGAGGCAGGCUGAAAGACCAUCUAAGCUUCUGCCACCCUACUAAGCCUUCUAGAUGAUACCAGCCAGAUGUACUUGUGCAACAAUGGUCAGAGCAGCACAAAUAAGGAGCAAAUAAGGAGAAAGCGGAUGGUAAAAUCUCUGCAGAAAAAUCAGCCAUGUAGUUAAAAUACAGCAUAAAUCAGUUUUUUAGAAGUGCUUGUUUUACAUGAAGAUUAAAUCCUCAACAAUGUGACUAUUAAGAAGCUAUUUGUUUUUCAUGGUCAUACAAAGAAUCUGGAAUAAUUACAGUUAAAACAGCUCUUCAUGUUACUUAAAAAUGCCUAGAAGUAAAGGUAUUAAAGUCACAAGAAUGGAAAAAAAAAAAAAAUCACCUCUGACAUUAAAAUAAAUCUCAGAAAUUUCACCUAACA
rnacentral:lncRNA from 1 species